rnacentral:rRNA from 1 species
CCCGGCGAUUAGAUAAACGUGCCACACCUCUUCCCAUUUCGAACAGAGAAGUUAAGGCGUUUAUUACCGAUGGUACUGCAUGGGCAACUGUGUGGGAGAGUAGGUUUUGCCGGGG